rnacentral:rRNA from 1 species
AGUCGACGAUUAAAGCACCUUCGGGUGUGUAUAGAGUGGCGAACGGGUGAGUAACACGUGACCAACCUGCCUCUUACAUUGGGACAACCAAAAGAAAUUCUGGCUAAUACCAAAUACUCCGCACAUAUCACAUGAUGUAUGCGGGAAAGCUUUUGCGGUAAGAGAUGGGGUCGCGGCCCAUUAGGUAGACGGCGGGGUAGAAGCCCACCGUGCCGAUGAUGGGUAGCCGGGUUGAGAGACCGACCGGCCACAUUGGGACUGAGAUACGGCCCAGACUCCUACGGGAGGCAGCAGUGGGGAAUAUUGCGCAAUGGGGGAAACCCUGACGCAGCAACGCCGCGUGCGGGAUGAAGGCCUUCGGGUUGUAAACCGCUUUCAGCAGGGAAGACAUCGACGGUACCUGCAGAAGAAGCCCCGGCUAACUACGUGCCAGCAGCCGCGGUAAUACGUAGGGGGCGAGCGUUAUCCGGAUUCAUUGGGCGUAAAGCGCGCGCAGGCGGUUGCUCAAGCGGAACCUCUAAUCUCGGGGCUUAACCUCGAGCCGGGUUCCGAACUGGACGACUCGAGUGCGGUAGAGGCAGAUGGAAUUCCCGGUGUAGCGGUGGAAUGCGCAGAUAUCGGGAAGAACACCAACGGCGAAGGCAGUCUGCUGGGCCGUCACUGACGCUGAGGCGCGAAAGCUGGGGGAGCGAACAGGAUUAGAUACCCUGGUAGUCCCAGCCGUAAACGAUGAGCGCUGGGUGUGGGAGAUUACAUCUUCCGUGCCGAAGCUAACGCAUUAAGCGCUC